UGUUUAGUCUGGAGAAAAGAAGCAACUUUGUUGGAUUCUCUGCAGUUUUUAAUUUCAAGAGCCUCUUUUUUUUUAUCCCAGUCUAAAUAGUUUUAUUACAAAUUCUAAAGUUAUGUAUUGAGCAGCUUUUUAAAGCCAAUUGCCUCUUGAUUAUAAAGUAAUAUUCUGCAUAAAUUCAACAUAAGAUACACCACGACACUAAGAACUGUAGACUUUGUUCCAGAAAUAUUUGUUCUCACAGUCUUACAGUACUGAGUCACUGUAACAGGUACACAGAUGCCUUUUCUUUUUAAAUCACUUAUAUACUCACCCACAUAAUUCUUCAUACCCUGCAGUGAAUUAUCCAUGCAUUGUUAAUCAACCUUGUUUCCCAGGUUCUCUACCUACUCUUAUGCUCUAUUUUUCAUGUGUUCUGUUGUAACUUUUGAAAUGAUGCAAGCCAUUGAUCUUAUUUCAUCCUUUGGGGUUCAAGGCAAUUACCAUGCUGUGUUGAAAAAAGCUGCCUUCAUACAUCAUUAUGCAAUUGACAUCAUAUUGCACUCUUUCUGCUACCUUAUUAUUAUUUUAAUUAAAAAGCGGUCAUGGAACAACAUCUUCGUUUCCACUCCUAAUAAAAAGCACCCUAAAAUUAUAAAUGAGUACAAAAAACUUUACCACAAAGACUGGUGUCCAAGAAAUCUGUAAUAUUGACAGGAAGGAUUUAAUCAGGAUGCCCACUGCAUGAAAGGAAGGGACAUACAAGUGCUCUUACACAUGUUUACAUAGAUUCCUCAGAUCCUGCCAGAGGCUCCAAGCAGAACAGGAGAAACUAGCACAGGGAGGCGUGCCCCUUUUUAUUGGAUGACUUUGAAAAGAUACGCCUGCUGUGUGCAUACGCGCUUCUGUACUUCUCUGUCCCACAGAAACUGGCAAGGAGCUUUAGACUGAGGCAGUCUGGCUAAAGGAGGCUUUGCAUGCUGAUACACAUGUGAAAAAAUAAGCACCUUCAAAUCUGGAACACAAGAUUUUAAAAGAAACAGCAGUAUCUUUUUUGUGAGCUUCUAAAACCGAUUGAGGUGAGAACCUCCUUUGUGGAACUGCACUUGGCAGCAGAUCUGACAUUUCUUGGCUUCCUAUUGGACAAAGGAAAACUGUAAAUCGUCCUACUCCUUUCCCACAGAAUAAUUUUUGUAAUCCUGCACUGAGGGCACUAACUAGGGAGACAGGUUAACCUUUGCCUUUAGUCAAGACUGCUGUUAGCUCUCCAUUUAAAAUCAUUGCCUUGAUGUCUGCCACUCUGAAACCUACCCAUCAACUUGUUAGUUUCAAGGGCAGGAAUGUAAUCUGGUUUAGAGACUGAUUUUUGUUCUUUUCUUACUAGUGAGCUGGCGUGAAACUGGAGAUGACUGCAAACAGAACUCUCCCAGUUGCCAACCACAGGUCUCUCUCGAGAAAAAGAGUUGGAGCUACCAUAAUGAUGUUUUAUGUAGGCCUCCUGUUUUGAUGCCCCCCUAGUUGGUUUUCAGGUGUCCUUCUGCAGCUCUGAAAGCCUGAUUUCUUGCCUGUGUAAGCUGCAAUUUACAUGAAUUAUCUUGCUCCAACAGGUGUGUUUUAAAGAAAUGCAGCUGACAUUGUACAAGUCGAUGGAAUAUUGAGAGUUGUGGAUUGAUAAGCAGGCUUUUUCAAAGGAGAAAGGAGAGUGGAACACCAAAGACUGUGGCCUCGGAGAAAACAGCCUUUACUUUGGAAACAGCUGGAAAUUAUCUGAGGAAGACAGUAAGAGACAAGCUUGACUAAUGAGAUGUUCAGGGACCUCAAACACAAGAAACUGGUUUUGCAGGUUCUCUCUGCAAAUCAGAUCAACAAAAUGAUCUGGAUUAAAAAAACCUACAA